UACAGAGGUCUCAAGCGUUGUUCGGAUUCAUUGGGCGUAAAGGGUGCGUAGGCGGCGCGGUAAGUCGGGUGUGAAAUCUCGGAGCUUAACUCCGAAACUGCAUUCGAUACUGCCGUGCUUGAGGACUGGAGAGGAGACUGGAAUUUACGGUGUAGCGGUGAAAUGCGUAGAUAUCGUAAGGAAGACCAGUGGCGAAGGCGGGUCUCUGGAACGGUACUGACGCUGAGGCGCGAGAGCGUGGGGAGCAAACAGG
rnacentral:rRNA from 1 species